GAGAAAUCCUAUAUGCAAGCACCAAUGGAGAAUUUUGCAGCAAAGGAUCAACAAAGAGAGAAGGAAGAAACACUAUCAAAGACAUUGGUAAGCAAUGAUUGUGUUGAUUUUCGAGGCAGAAUUGCAGACAAGCGAACUACAGGAGGAUGGAAAGCCUCUCCAUUUAUCAUAGCAAAUGAGGUGGCAGAAAGGUUGGCAUUUUUUGCAAUAGCGGUG
rnacentral:misc_RNA from 1 species